CAGUCGCCACGGUAAUACGAAGGGUGCAAGCGUUAAUCGGAAUUACUGGGCGUAAAGCGUGCGUAGGCGGUUUGUCAAGUCUGCUGUGAAAUCCCCGGGCUCAACCUGGGAAUGGCAGUGGAUACUGGCAAGCUAGAGUGUGUCAGAGGAUGGUGGAAUUCCCGGUGUAGCGGUGAAAUGCGUAGAGAUCGGGAGGAACAUCAGUGGCGAAGGCGGCCAUCUGGGACAACACUGACGCUGAGGCACGAAAGCGUGGGGAGCAAACAGGAUUAGAUACCCCGGUAGUCCCUGUCUCUUAUAC
rnacentral:rRNA from 1 species